UAAGGUGACUAUAGCGGUGGGGAUCACCUCUUCCCAUUCCGAACAGAGCAGUUAAGACCACCCGCGCUGAUGGUACUAGGGUAAAACCGGGAGAGUAAGUCGUUGCCUAUC
rnacentral:rRNA from 1 species